UACGUAGGGUGCAAGCAUUGUCCGGAUUUAUUGGGCGUAAAGAGCUCGUAGGCGGCUCGUCACGUCGGGUGUGAAAACUCGGGGCUCAACCCCGAGCCUGCACUCGAUACGGGCUAGCUAGAGUGUUGCAGGGGAGACUGGAAUUCCUGGUGUAGCGGUGAAAUGCGCAGAUAUCAGGAGGAACACCGGUGGCGAAGGCGGGUCUCUGGGCAACUACUGACGCUGAGGAGCGAAAGCGUGGGGAGCGAACAGG
rnacentral:rRNA from 1 species